UGCUUUGCAUGAGUUAUCCUGGGUGGCUAACCCUCCGGGGUGAAAAAUCCGAACGAAAUCUUAUCUUAUCCUCUCCCAGUUCCACCCAUCUUAACUCUUAACUAAGCUUUGAUAACCCUCAAAAUCCUUAACAACAGCAACAGAUUGUAAUGGCUGAUGUAUAUACCAACCCAGAGAAACAUGUGGUACUUCACAACAGUGUUAAAAUGCCUAUUCUUGGCUUAGGAACAUCUCAUGAUGGUGGCUACAGCCAUGAAGCUGUAGUUUAUGCACUGAAAAUUUGUGGUUAUAGACACAUUGAUACUGCUAAACGGUACGGCUGUGAGACAUACAUCGCCGAAGCUGUGAAGGCCUCAGGAGUACCUCGUGAAGAAAUCUUCCUGGCAACAAAAUGUUGGCCCACAGAUUAUGGCACCACUGCUACCAGAGAUGCCUUCAAUGGUUCCUGUCAGAGAUUAGCUUCCGAGUAUUUAGAUAUGUACCUCCUUCACUGGCCAGAUGUCCCUUCACGUGUCAAGGAUAAAAAACAGCUCCUACAAGACACAUGGCGCACACUGGAGGUUCUACUUGAUGAAGAGAGAGUGAGAGUGAUUGGCAUUAGUAACUUUUUAGAGCAGCACCUGGAAAUGAUAAUGGAAGAGUGUUCGGUCAUACCUCACGUCAACCAGUGUGAGUUUCACCCAUACAACAACCCAAAGAAGCUCAGAGAUUAUUGUACAGAGAGAAAUAUCCAGUUUGAGGGCUAUUCUCCACUUGCUAAAGGCUUGGUCCUAAAGGAAACGACAGUGGAGAAAAUAGCCAAACAUCAUUUGAAAACACCAUCUCAGAUCCUGAUCCGCUGGAGUGUGCAGAGACACAUUCCUGCUAUCCCAAAAUCGACUAAAUUAGAACGAGUGAUGGAAAACUCUCAGGGUUACUGUCCACUAGCCAAUGGCCAAAUUCUAAAUGAACCAAAAAUUCAAGAGAUUGCUGGUAUACAUGGCAAAUCUCCUGCCCAAGUUCUUAUACGUUGGAAUCUCCAGAAGAGAGUAGUAUGCAUCCCAAAAUCCACCAAAGAACACAGGGUCAGAGAGAACUCAGAGGUUUAUGAUUUUGUCCUGACCAAAGAAGAUAUGGCAGUAUUAGACAGUUUGCCACAAAAAUUAACCAUCAUGAACCCAAGUGCUAUUCAAGCUAAAAUUGAUAACCCCUUGCCUGAUGGGUACAAACUCACCUUUGUCAAGACACCAGUGGAGCCAUAAGAUAAAAUACAUCAUCAUUAUUAUUGCGCCAACAGCCAGCAGCCACAACAAGUGCAGCAGCAGCAGCAGCACUAGUGUAGUUUACCAUCAAAUUAACUGUCACCACUAUUGCUGCUCCAUUUCUUGCUUCAUGGGAUGAAGAAACAUUCACCAGGAAGUGAGGGAAAUGUGGUACAAUAUUUAAAAAAGAAGAUUUGAAUAUUUCCUGGUGCUGCCUGGCCAACACUUUGCUAACCUUUGCAGGUGUUUAUUUAUAUAUGGUUCAAGUCACAGGUCAUCUCAGCUUGAAUGAGUCACAGUUCAGUUUACUCUUAAUGGUUAUUAUUAUUAUUAUGAGGGUGCUUGUGUGGGAGGGGGGUGAAGGCAGCAUUCAGGGAACUGGAGAACAGAUCCAAUUCCCUAGUCCAAAAGCCCUUCACUAACAUCAAGGAACUUCCCUUGAGGGGUCUUAAUGGUUAAAGAAAGAAGGUUGGAAUUCAGAUUUGUAUUAUGAAGUACAGUUUAUUGGAAAGAUCAAGAAAAUUGUGAUUAGCCAAAUUUAAAUGAUGAAAUUUUAAUUAUUUAAUGAAGUAAACUCUUCAAGAAAGGGGCUUUGACACUAGUGAAGAGCUUUUGAUCCAAGGAGCUGCAAUUCCCCUUCACUUCCUUGGAUCAAACCUGACUGUGGCUCACUCCCAAGUUACUAUAUGGCCCUUACAGUUUUAGCUCUUUCAAAUGAAUUAUAAUAAUACAGUAUAAUUAUAAGGCCCAAAAUAUAAUUUUUUUUAUUGUAGUUGCCAGGUGAGUGAUGUAGUCAGUUUACAGUUACAGAAUUUAUACAGAUUUAUGGAAAAGCAUUAGACAAAUACAUAGUAACACACACACACACACCAUGUAUUAGUUUAAGGUUACAGUUAUCCUUCCAAAUUUGAAGGAAGUUACCUUCCUAGAGGACCUGUGAAGUAGGAAACUGACUAACACAAAUUUUGUUUCAGAUUUCUUUAAUGUAGUACUCUAAUCUGCUUGAUAUUGACAUUCAAGAGAAAUAAUGCUGGGUAAUUUAAUGUUGGGGAUUAUAUAUAUAUUCGCUGGUUGCCUAUCAAAUAAAAAAAAAUGUUGGGUGCUAUAAUUGAAACCUCUAAGGAAGACAUCCACAAAUUUUAUGGGACAACUGUAUAUAAUUAAUAACAGUUGGUGACUAAAGUAACAUGCUAACAAGUGGGAAUAAAGACAUGUAAUGAAGAGCAAGCCUUUAUUUUACCAACAUUUUAAUGAGUUUUAUCAAAUCUCUUAAUAAUAAGAAUUAUUAUAAUCAAACCUAAGUGCUCAACCCACUAGGGUUAUACAGCACUGCUUAAAAUUGAGAAAAGUUUUCUAAAAUAAGGAAUCAUUUUGCAUAUGUCUUUAUACCCAUUUAUAAAAAUGAAUUAACAUAAAUAUUAUUGACUUUAUGAAAAUUAUUUAAUUUUCAAGACUCGUGAAAUCAUAACACAAUUGCAAACAAACCCGUGAACGGGUAGGGUUGGAACCCAUGGUGAGCAAGUCUUAAAACUUUUAGGGCUCACUACAUCCAUUUCAUGCUUUAAUUUUCAAACUUAUUUGAUCACUUCAGCUUAACUCUAAGUAAUCAAAUUAAGUUUUCAAGGGGUAGAAGAGUAAGCCAGUGGAAGGCCUCGGUCAGAUGACCAAAACUCCAGUGGCGGGUCAUCACAUGACGCAGACCUGCAUCAGGAAACACUGGUCCUGUUUCCUGAUGAACCGUACCUAACCUAACUCUAAAGAAAAUAACUGUUAUCACAAUCUGUUAGCAACCAAACUAGUGUAGCACCAAAGGUUAGCGUACUAGUAAACUCACUGGUGAUGUGUUAUCAUCACCAGUGUGUAGUCUUGGGAUAUCCUCAGAACAUUACACACUACUGCUAAUACUCAGUAGGAUUAAAGUACAUAUAAAAAAAAGAUCAGGCUUAAUAAUUUAUACAUUAUUUAUUAGUAUUAAGGAACCACUAUAAAAGGAAAAUGAAUCGUGAGUAAAGCAUUUUCAUUAUUACUGCUAAAUCUAUAGGGGUCAUACAGC